GCGCGGGAGGAUGGACCGGGUGGAGCUGGCGGUUAGUGGGCGCGCGGGUGGAGCCUUUGGUUACAGCGGGCGCGCGGGUGGAGCUGGCGGUUACAGCGGGCGCGCGGGUGGAGCUGGCGGUUACAGCGGGCGCGCGGGUGGAGCUGGCGGUUACAGUGGGCGCGCGGGUGGACGGAGCAGGUUUGGUUCGGCGAGAACCCGGGGUGUAGUGAGCACCAAAGAUCUUAUAGCGGAGCAAGAUAGGCCACUCCUGCGAAAUGCAAUGGGCUGACGUGUAGUACGCUACGGAGCGGAACGUGGACAUUUUUUUCGUCCAUUCCAGUAACCAGAACCUACCCGACUCGCAGUGUAAUCAAUGUUGUGGGGGAACACUCCUCCAUUUCUGGCAGCUGGCAACAAAGUGGCAGCAGUUGAACGUCGUUCUGGAAAUCAGCAACUGGGAACACAUCUUGGGAUGUCCACGUUGCAGACAGUGCUAGUUCAUUUCAGUUGCUGGUGUCUCUCCUCUACGUUCCAAAAUGCUAAAGCAAAGCUAGUCUCUUUUUAAAAUUAUGAAAAA